AGGAUGAACGCUGGCGGAAUGCCUAAUACAUGCAAGUCGAGCGGCAGCGCGAGUAGUUUACUACUUGGCGGCGAGCGGCGGACGGCUGAGUAACGCGUGGGAACGUGCCCCAAAGUGAGGAAUAACUGCCCGAAAGGGUAGCUAAUGCCGCAUAUGAUCUUCGGAUUAAAGGAUUUAUCCGCUUUGGGAGCGGCCCGCGUACGAUUAGAUAGUUGGUGAGGUAAGCUCACCAAGUCUACGAUCGUUAACUGAUCUGAGAGGAUGAUCAGUCAGACUGGAACUGAGACACGGUCCAGACUCCGUACGGGA
rnacentral:rRNA from 1 species